GCCUCUGUAGCACAGCGGUAGUGCGCUACCUUGGUAAGGUAGAGGUCCCGAGUUCAAUUCUCGGCAGAGGCU
rnacentral:tRNA from 1 species